GAUGAACGCUGGCGGCGUGCUUAACACAUGCAAGUCGAACGGUGAAGGCGGAGCUUGCUCUGCUGGAUCAGUGGCGAACGGGUGAGUAACACGUGAGCAAUCUGACCCUGACUCUGGGAUAAGCGCUGGAAACGGCGUCUAAUACUGGAUACGAGCUGCGAAGGCAUCUUCAGCAGCUGGAAAGAAUUUCGGUCAGGGAUGAGCUCGCGGCCUAUCAGCUUGUUGGUGAGGUAAUGGCUCACCAAGGCGUCGACGGGUAGCCGGCCUGAGAGGGUGACCUGCCACACUGGGACGGAGACACGGCCCAGACUCCUACGGGAGGCAGCAGUGGGGAAUAUUGCACAAUGGGCGAAAGCCUGAUGCAGCAACGCCGCGUGAGGGACGACGGCCCUCGUGUUGUAAACCUCUUUUAGCAGGGAAGAAGCGAAAGUGACGGUACCUGCAUAAAAAGCGCCGGCUAACUACGUG
rnacentral:rRNA from 1 species